GUGCUUGCUUCAGCAGCAUGUAUACUAAAAUUGGAACAAUACAGAGAAGAUUAGCAUGGCCUCUGCACGUGGAUGACAUGCAAAUCCAUGAAGCAUUAAAAUUUUAA
ensembl:snRNA U6 U6 spliceosomal RNA